AUGAACACCCACAAGGACGUUAUACCUCCAACGCAGCAACCAAUGAUAUAUAUCUGUGGAGAAUGUCACCCAGAAAAUGAAAUAAAAUCUAGGGAUCCAAGCAGAUGCCGAGAAUGUGGAUACAGAAUAAUGUACAAGAAAAGGACUAAAAGAUUGGUCAUUUUUGAUGCUUGAUGAAACCUAGGAAUUCAGAGGAAUGUCUUCACUUAUACUUGAAUUUGCUCUCUCAAUGUUUCUGAUUGUUGUAUAACUUUUGAUUUUUCAUACAGUCGUUCCCCUUUAUCUUUGGGGGAUACAUUCCAAGGCCCCCAGUGGACUUCUGAAACCUCAGAUAGUACCAAACAUUUAUACACUGUUUUUUUCUAUAUAUACAUACUUAUGAUAAAGUGUAACGUAUAAAUUAAGCAUAGCAAGAGAUUAAUGAUAAUAAAAUAGAACAAUUAUAACAUACUGUAAUAAAAGUUAUGUGAAUGUG